UCUAAAGCCACUACCACCCUGAAUUUGCCCUGUUUUGUUUGAACUGGGAAGCUAAGCAAGGUCAGGCCUGGUUAAUACUGGUAGGGGAGACUAAGCUAACACACUCAGGAGGGAAAAUGUUACAGAACCUUUAGAU
rnacentral:rRNA from 1 species